UGGGGAAUCUUGCGCAAUGGGCGAAAGCCUGACGCAGCGACACCGCGUGGGGGAUGAAGGCCCUUAGGGUCGUAAACCCCUUUCGGCAGGGACGAAGCGAUCUCGUGACGGUACCUGCAGAAGAAGCCUCGGCUAACUACGUGCCAGCAGCCGCGGUAACACGUAGGAGGCGAGCGUUGUCCGGAAUCAUUGGGCGUAAAGAGCGCGUAGGCGGCUCGGUAAGUCGGUUGUGAAAUCCCGGGGCUCAACCCCGGGACUGCAUCCGAUACUGCCGAGCUAGAGGUAGGUAGGGGAGAUCGGAAUUCCUGGUGUAGCGGUGAAAUGCGCAGAUAUCAGGAGGAACACCGGUGGCGAAGGCGGAUCUCUGGGCCUUACCUGACGCUGAGGCGCGAAAGCUAGGGGAGCGAACAGG
rnacentral:rRNA from 1 species